GACGAACGCUGGCGGCGUGCUUAACACAUGCAAGUCGAACGGAGUGGCGAACGGGUGGGUAACACGUGGGUGACCUGCCCUGCACUUCGGGGUAAGCCUGGGAAACUGGGUCUACUACCGGCUAGUUUGGGAUGGGCCCGGGGCCUAUCAGCUUUUUGGUGGGGUAAUGGCCUACCAAGGCGGAGACGGGUAGCCGGCCUGGGAUGGUGGACGGCCACAGUGUGACUGAGACACGGACCAGAGUCCUACGGGAGGCAGUAGUGGGGAAUAUGAUACAAUGAGGGGAAGCCUGAUGAAGCGACGCUGCGUGGGGGAUGACGGCCUUCGGGGUAGAAACUCCUUUCACCAUCGACGCGGUAGAUGGAGAAGAAGCACCGGCUAACUACGUGCCAGCAGCCGCGGUAAUAC
rnacentral:rRNA from 1 species